rnacentral:rRNA from 1 species
AGGAGUUUUGGAUCCUGGCUCAGGACGAACGCUGGCGGCGUGCUUAACACAUGCAAGUCAAGGGGGCCCAGCAAUGGGCAACCGGCGAACGGGUGCGUAACACGUGAGCAACCUACCGAACUGUGGGGGAUAGCCGGCCUAACGGCCGAGUAAUACCGCAUACGCUUUCAGCGAGGCAUUUCGUUGAAAGGAAACCUACGGGACAGAUCGAGGGGCUCGCGGCCUAUCAGCUAGUUGGCGAGGUAACGGCUCACCAAGGCAACGACGGGUAGCUGGUCUGAGAGGAUGGCCAGCCACAUUGGGACUGAGAUACGGCCCAGACUCCUACGGGAGGCAGCAGUGGGGAAUCUUGCGCAAUGGCCUAACGGCUGACGCAGCGACGCCGCGUGUGGGAUGAAGCUCUUCGGAGUGUAAACCACUGUUGCCCGGGACGAAUAGCUCGAUUAAUCGAGCCUGACGGUACCGGGUGAGGAAGCACCGGCUAACUCCGUGCCAGCAGCCGCGGUAAUACGGGGGGUGCGAGCGUUGUCCGGAAUCACUGGGCGUAAAGGGCGCGUAGGUGGUUUGAUAAGGGUGUGGGAAAGUCCGGGGCUCAACCCCCGGAUCUGCCGGCCGA